AGGGACAAGUUACUGUAUUUAAAGGGUGACUAAGAUGGGGACUGCCUGUUUACAAGGAGCCACAGGGAAAACAUGAGGAGUACAUGUACUAGUUACUACUGGCCAUCUUGCCAAAGGGAGUCUCAAAGCCUGGGAAGGGUUCCACUGCAGAUGGUCAGUGUAUAAGGCCAGGGAGAAUUGUUCCUUAGCUAGGGAGAAGGCUUCAGAUUUUACAAUGAGAUUGGGAUCCAUGAACAUCCAAGUGUAGCUCACACUCCUCCCUAGCUCCAGGACUGUGGCAGCGGGAAAUGAGAUGCGCCCUUUGGUUGCAGAACUGCUGUGAAUAUGGAUUUUCUCAACAUAUCAGAUAAAACUGAUAGCUUCUUGCGUCAACUUUCUUAUGUUUGAGCAAAAAAGCCUAAAAAUCCUGUUGUUUGGCACUGCUGGAUAAUGCUUUGAACCCUUUUUUUACACGAUCUAAGAAAAAAAUAUGGAAGCUCCCAGGCAGUUUCAACACUGUGAAACACCAUCUUGAGAGAGGUCAGCACAGGAGGUGUGCCUGGAGGACAGUCCUUUACAGCUGCCCCUGGAGAAGCCUCGACGGGUAGCAAAGCAGAUGGCUCAGCUCUGUCAAAGAAAGUCUCCUAAAAACACCAGAUUACUGAGGCAAUGAGGUUCUGGCUUGCCAACUGCGUCUGAGAUGCUCAUGGGCAUGGCUCUCUUUCAGCCCUGCCCUUUCUGCAAGACAAAAUAGAAUUUUAAUCCUCCCAAGAAAAUUUCAUAGUGGAAGUAUGUGAAAAUGAGGACAGCAACACAGAUGGAUGUUUGCUAAUAGCUGUUUGGAUUUGGCAAUGUAGGAGGGGUUUUCUAGCUUUACAGUCCCUUAGUAUUUGUAAAAUUACUUUAUAUAAAAAAAAAAAUCGCCCUGUGGGUGGUAUGCAGGGGUUGUGCUAAAAAUGAAUAAUUUAAAAUAAUGAAUAAUUAACCCCCAAUUUGCCAAUAGGUAAUUUAAAUUUCAGUUGUGCACUAAAAAAAUGUGAAAAUAUUACAAUUUGGGAUUGCAAUUUGUGUUCUUCAAGUGAGUCCAAAUCUGAACUGGCACUAUGUGCCACUAAGAACAGCAAAUCUCAAAGCAAUAUGAAUAUGUGCAUUGGACUUAAUGGACUUUCUUUCCAAAGAAGACAAAAUGACUUUAAAAUGGGAACUGCAAGUACACUCUACCUCCUGGGAAAACAGCUCUUACUUUCCCUUUGUAUAAAGGUCAUUGCAAAUUGGGAAGUUUAAUUCCUGUCCUGCAUGUUUUGUGCCACCAGUCAUGGUCCCUGGCUGAUAAAUAAGAAAAGUGAAUUAGUUCUUGAAGAGAGGGAGUGAACAGUAUAAAAUUGGCCGAGUGUUUCUCAGGAGGAGAAACACCUGGCUGCAGUGGGCUUUUUAUCUAUUUUGAAGUAGAUAUAUUUCUAAACUACUCGUUGCUUUAGUACAAGGAAUGACAAAUCAUAUAUUCAGUGAGGGAUCAAAGAGAUGACACAGGAAAAGAGAGCCUAGAUGCAGGAUUACCAUUUCUGGGUUAAUGGAUUACCUGAAAACACAGGCUGCUAAGUUUAGAUAUAGCAACUCAAGAAAUAAAAUUGUUGUUGCCCAAA